CAGUCGAGGGGUAUAGUUCUUCGGAAUUAGAGACCGGCGCACGGGUGCGUAACGCGUAUGCAAUCUACCUUUUACAGAGGGAUAGCCCAGAGAAAUUUGGAUUAAUACCUCAUAGUAUAGAUCAACCGCAUGGUUGGCCUAUUAAAGUCACAACGGUAAAAGAUGAGCAUGCGUCCCAUUAGCUAGUUGGUAAGGUAACGGCUUACCAAGGCGACGAUGGGUAGGGGUCCUGAGAGGGAGAUCCCCCACACUGGUACUGAGACACGGACCAGACUCCUACGGGAGGCAGCAGUGAGGAAUAUUGGACAAUGGGCGCAAGCCUGAUCCAGCCAUGCCGCGUGCAGGAUGACGGUCCUAUGGAUUGUAAACUGCUUUUGCACAGGAAGAAACAACUCUACGUGUAGAGUCUUGACGGUACUGUGAGAAUAAGGAUCGGCUAACUCCGUGCCAGCAGCCGCGGUAAUACGGAGGAUCCAAGCGUUAUCCGGAAUCAUUGGGUUUAAAGGGUCCGUAGGCGGUUUAGUAAGUCAGUGGUGAAAGCCCAUCGCUCAACGGUGGAACGGCCAUUGAUACUGCUAGACUUGAAUUAUUAGGAAGUAACUAGAAUAUGUAGUGUAGCGGUGAAAUGCUUAGAGAUUACAUGGAAUACCAAUUGCGAAGGCAGGUUACUACUAAUGGAUUGACGCUGAUGGACGAAAGCGUGGGUAGCGAACAGGAUUAGAUACCCUGGUAGUCCACGCCGUAAACGAUGGAUACUAGCUGUUGGGAGCAAUCUCAGUGGCUAAGCGAAAGUGAUAAGUAUCCCACCUGGGGAGUACGUUUCGCAGAAUGAAACUCAAAGGAAUUGACGGGGGCCCGCACAAGCGGUGGAGCAUGUGGUUUAAUUCGAUG
rnacentral:rRNA from 1 species